UUGUCUGAUUUUGAUUUGGAUGUCAAUUUUAUGGGAAUUUAGUGUCUCAACAAAAGCAUUUGCACAACAUGAUUCAGAAAUCUCAAAUUCAUUCUAAUUGCCAAAAACCAACAUAUUUUACAAAGAGUUGCUUGUUCUAAAGAGACCUAUAAGCUAUAACAUAAAAAGACAUCAAACCAAAUAUUAGCACUGCAAUAGUGGUGUGCAGAAAGUCCUCCUAACUGCAGUGGUGUACUCUGUUACUUCCUUCAUACUCAAACUUCAGUAUACACAAUUCAUUUAAAUGUAUCCUGCCAAAUCGGGGACACAUAACUUUAGUAAGUUGUACUUAAAGAACAAAGAAACCAAAUACAAACUAGCAUACAGUUGAAUGAAUUGCCACAGAAGCUAACAUAGAUCAAGAAAACACUUGCCACAUCAAACCAUUUAUUACAAUACAUUACUAGACAAAAUUUCUUACAGACAGAGUUUUAUAACCAUAUUGCUUGUCUACGAAAAAAUUAAGAAUGCCCAUAGAAAUAAUUGCAAACCUUUUCAAGUUUUAGCAUACAUGUGAGGCCAAAAAGCUAUAUCUGGAAAAUCCAAUGGAGCUUUAAAAUCUUUUGAUUCUCUAUAAAGAUGUAAUAGCUCAUUGCAUUUAUGGUUUCAGACUUCGGAACUGAAUUGGAGAUAAGCUUACCUUUUCAAGGUGUAAUUACCCUCCUUGAUCCUUUGCGAUACACAACAAUGCCUACCAACUGUUGCAGAUUUCACAGUUCUUACACUAGACCGUACUGAGAAAUCCCUGAACAUCAAAUAAUUACAUAAAGAAAUUGAAAUUGUAGGGGAAAAUAAAACUUACGGCAUGGAGCACUCCACCCUGCAAGAGCUGCUUUUUAACCCACAUAUUUCUUUUUGGUCAUCUCCUGUGAAACCCAAUUGUGACCCACAAAUUAUUAUCUCAAAGACUUGCACAAUCAAUUCUCUUGAUUGUCAAACACUAUCAAAGAAUCUUGACAGUCAAAAGAAUUCCAUAUAGACAAAUGUAUAUCUAUCUUACAGUUUGUCAAACUCGCUCCUUUGGGUGUAAUAUCCUAAAAUAAUACAUAAUCAGACAACGAAAUAGAAUCAUGAUAAGAUAACAAAUAGAAACUUAUAUGAUAGGUAAUCAAAACUUACAGAAUGUCACAGUCAACCUCCUUGGAGCUGUCAAUUAUCUUGUUUCAGAUUUUCUCAUGUGAAGUUCAACAUUAAGUCAUCUCAUACUACAACUGAGACUUAGAGAGGAAACAAAGACAUAGAUAUGAAAAAAAAAGAAAGAAAAAAGACAGACACGAAGACCUAAUUCUUCUAAACCAAUGGCACUACAAAAACAAAAUGAUUUCAUAUAGACAGAAAGACAUGAUUCUACCUUUGACGUAGUCAACAUGACUUAUUUGGGUUCAAAAUCAUUCUAGAAGGUUUUCCUGCCUUACUUCACAAGAUGGUUCACACUUCACAAGGCUAAAUACUGAAAACAAAAGAUGUAUACAAAAAUCAACUUCAACUCGGUUGUUCUUAUCACUAGCUACCCUAACGUUUGGAGGGGCGCACCAACCAUGUUCUGCAUGUAAAUAAAAAUGAGGGAGAACUGGUGAAGCAUAAUACCAAGAACUUACAACAAUUAAAGGUGCAAACUAGAGGAUUCUCAUCGCAAAGUAAUACCUGCCCAGUAACAUGCUUUAGACACUCACUAGAAAAUAAACAUACACAACAAAAUGCAUUUGUAACUGGGCAAAAGACAAAGAAAGAACACAUAUCAUAAGAAUCAUAAUUGGAAACAAAACCACUUGCAUACACAGCCCUAGAAACCACAUGAAUAAAGAGGAACAUCCAAAUAGUAGCACGGUAUAGUCCUGCCUAAACUAUAUCACCAUUGUCAAUGCAUACGACAGUGAAAGUAUGAAUCAUAGUAGAGCCUUAGGGUCACCUCCUGAAACAUCACACUGGAACUAGACUUACAAUAUGCAUGGUUCCUAGUUCAGAAUUCAAAUUACAUACUGUAACCAAGUUGAACAAAUUGACAAGUUCAAUCAACACCAGAAGAAAAAGAUCAAAGAGGUAGAAAAUAAAUGAAAGGAUACGUACCUCAGCUUAACAUAACAAAUCGUAAGCAGUCAAUGUGAGACACCCAAAGUUAACCACAGUCAGUUCUAUAGAACCACCAUUUUGGUUUAGAAGUAUAAUCAAGAAUCAUACUCAUUGAAGCAAGGCAACAAGAUAAUAAAUGACACGAUAUAGUAAGGGAACUCGACUUCAACCAUAUACAUAUGUAGUCUACUUCAAACAUUAAAAGUAUAUAUAAUUGUUUCAUAUAUUAGGACAAUAGAGUCAUGGCUAUAUAAACUGACAUUUCAGUGUGGUAGAUGUAUAAGUUGAACAAUCUUAUACUAGAUGAAGUAUACAACAAGAUGAUAAAUCGAGAGUAAUACUGAUGUCAUUCUUCAAAAUUUUAGUUAGUAGUCUCACUUGGUUCUUAAGGGCAUUUAGUCGAACACCUGGAGUGCAGUUUUUCCCUUCAGCAAUUGUCGAUGGCAAAAGAGGCCUUGUGAAUAGCAAAAGAGACUAAUUCAAAAAUUAUAUGUCUAGAAUCAUUCCAAUUGAGACUAAUUCCAACUAGGUUACCUUCUAAAUACCAUCAGAAUCAUUAACAAAACCACCAAUUCGAACUGGAUUACCUUCUAAAACCCCCCAAUCAUUAGCAAAACCCCAAUUCGAACUGGGUUACCUUCUAAAUACCUAGCUUCUAAAACAAAGAAACAACUUACCAGCGAACAACGGUGAAUUAAUACUUCAUACCCGAUCUGUCUCUUCAGAAGGAGGGAAUCUCUCGUGAUUUUGACACAAGAAAUUUACAGACAAAUCACAAAAAUCCCCGCACCCCCAAUCCAACAAAACUCAAUAUCAACAAGCAAAACCCCAAUCCAACGAAACCCUAAAUCAACGCAGCAAAACCCCAAUCCAACAAAACCCUAAAUCAACCUAGCGAAACCUCAAUCCAACAAAACACUAAAUCAACUUCGAUAUAGAAUUUUGCAUGGAACUUAUCAAGGAAUAAAAAUUUCUCAUAAUCUACGGCGGUGGAUGGAGGGUGAGAGACGAGCUAUUCAUCUUUCAGAACGAAAGUAGAGAGUUGAGAUCGAAAGUGGUAGUUGAGAGAAUGAGUUUGAGUUUUCUGGUUGAGACAGUUGAGAGAAUUGAACGAGUGAGGCUAGGUAUCAGGGAAGUUAAGAAUGAGAGAAAGGUUUUAAGUAUCAAAAAUUAUCCAUACAAUUACGCCAAAAAAAAAAUUACGGGGCCAGACACAUUUACCUUUCUAAAAAAAUGGCAGUUUUUUGUCGUCUUAAAAUGUCCAUAUUACUUGUCAAAUUUUCUUGUUUUUACGACGACAAAUGAUUGUCGUCUCAUGAACACACUAAUUUUAACUGUUUACGCAUUGUAACACUUAGACGACAGAUUUUUAAAUUUUUGUCAUAAAAAUUUAUCAGACGAUAGUAAAAACGAUUUAUGUCGUCUGACACCUGUUAUCUAAUUGCAAAAUUAGCGUAGUGAUAGGACUCCAAAAUUUAAAUUAAACUAAAUGAUUCCCGGCAGCCGGUGCCAAAAACUUGAUGGAUUUCCUGUAAGUAUAUAGGGUGGAUGUAGUAUAGUGAUUGGAAGAAAAUGAGUUGUCGUUCCCACGAGGAUAUUAGUUUAAUGCAAAUUAUAAAAUACAUAAACUAACUAUACUAAAACACACAAAUCGAUAAAAAUAAUUUAAAGAAACAAACAAACAAGAGAAUAAAUAAACAAUCAAUGAUGAAUGAACCUAGGGUGUCAGAAUCAACCACUAACAGUCGUAUUUAUGCUUUGAUGCAACUAACAGACUCUUUCAUUUCUCUAGAUGAUAAUUCUCAUAUCUAAGUCCAGAUACGACACUUAGACCAUAGUUUUCC
rnacentral:lncRNA from 1 species